rnacentral:rRNA from 1 species
GGAAUAUUGGGCAAUGGGCGGAAGCCUGACCCAGCCAUGCCGCGUGAGGGAUGGAGGCCCUAUGGGUCGUGAACCUCUUUUGUCCGGGGACAAAGCCGGGGUCGAGAACUCCGGUUGCGGGUACCGGGCGAAUAAGCAUCGGCUAACUCCGUGCCAGCAGCCGCGGUAAUACGGAGGAUGCGAGCGUUAUCCGGAUUCAUUGGGUUUAAAGGGUGCGCAGGCGGCUGCCUAAGUCAGCGGUGAAAGUCAGGGGCCCAACCCCGGAAGUGCCGUUGAUACUGGGUGGCUGGAAUGCGGUCGAGGCGGGCGGAAUGUGGUGUGUAGCGGUGAAAUGCAUAGAUAUGCCACAGAACGCCGAUAGCGAAGGCAGCUCGCCAGGCCUGCAUUGACGCUCGGGCACGAAAGCGUGGGGAUCAAACA